UGGUGGUACUCCUUAUGAAAAAGGUAUUGAAGUGGACCCUUCAAUAUCCAGAAGAGCACACGGCAGUGUUUUCUACCAGAUUAUGACAAUGAGAAGGCAGCCUCAACUUCUAGUGAAACUGAGAUCCUUGAACAGAAGAUCAAGAAAUGUACUAAGUCUACUGCCAGAAACAUUAAUUGGAAAUAUGUGUUCUAUUCACUUGUUGAUAUUUUAUCGACAAAUUCUUGGAGAUGUGCUCCUGAAAGACAGGAUGAGCUUGCAAAGUACUGAUUUAAUUAGCCAUCCCAUGCUGGCCACCUUCCCCAUGCUCUUGGAGCAGCCUGAUGUGAUGGAUGCUCUCAGGGUGGGUAGCAUGCAUUGCAAUGGAAACCUGCUGGCUUAUGGAAGCAGUUAUACACUCUGUGUUAAUGAGUUCUGUCUAGGCCUUUUUUUUUGUUACUAGGAUGAUGUCUCCCAAUCCCUAUCCAUUGUCUAGGUAACUCAGUCCUCAUCUUUCCCAUCUUAGCAUAAAUUCCCAAGGGCUGCCUUCCCUGACCCAGGGAGCAGGUGGAGUGCCUGCUAUGUACACUAUUGCAAU
rnacentral:lncRNA from 1 species